UAUGUACUCAUAUUGUUUGUUAGAUUGUGCUAUCAUGUAAAAAAACAACUGAAAACAUGAGUUAUAUCAGCUGAAUUUACCUUUUUUUGGGUUUCACAUGCAUAUAUAUUAUAUAGACAUAAAUAUUAAGAACUAUAAUUUUGUGAAUGGUAAGUUAGUUUUUUGAUGAUACUGGUCAUUUUUAUAACCAUUUGCAUCAUACUUUAAGAGUCAAGCACCAGAAAUGUGAAAGUGCUGCAUGUGUCCUUUGUCAUACUCACCUUAUGUUAAAAGAAUUUUUUUUUUUUGUGAAUGAUGUUAAAAGAAUGUUAAGGUUAUUCUACUCAGACUGCAUCUAAUAGUAGUGUUACCUGAUACUCUUAUUUGCUUAGUUAUCUCUAGUUAAUCGAAGACUACCGACAACUGAUUACUUUGUCUUUAUUGAUGUCUCCCCUAGAUAUCCAAGUAGUAAAUGAACUGCUUUGGGCAUUGGAUUAGGUCUUGGGCUUCUCGUGCGGGUUCAGACAUACUUCAACUUUGAAGGGGCUUUCCAAUAUUUAGAAGAUACUUUUAGGUUGGUUGACAGACUGAAUUUACCUAACGAUUUGUAAGGAUGAAAUGGGUUUAGCGUAUUGUAGGGCGCACGUCUUUCAGCUUCAUUUUUAAUUACAGAGCACGACACAAAACCUUGUGCUCAACACACUACACAUUUGACCUUCACAGACUAAGGCAUAGCCUAGUGGUGGGGAGGGGCUGAUGCCUUCCCACCCACCCGAGUUCAAGUCCUCAUGCUUGCAAUUUCGGUGAUGUUGUACCCCUGCUAUCAAAAAUACCACGUGGCCCCUCCCACGUUGGAAAUCAUUACACAUUUGACCUUCUAUUCUUUUACUUUUUUUUGAUGAAUUUGAUGUCAAUCUGAUAGAAACUGUAGGGGCAGACAUUCACUAAAUUUUAUCUUUCCACUGCAGGACUCCUCGUAUUUUAUGGCAUACAACAUUACUUCUAAAUAGCUGGUUCACUUGUUUUUAUUCCUUUGAUAAUGAUACCAAUCUUGGGCGGAUCUGAUGUGGACGCAACAGUCAUAUCCACCAUGUUGUUCGUGUCGGGUCUUACAACAAUACUCCAUACUUUUCUUGGUUCUCAGCUUCCAUUAAUUCAAGGAAGUUCAUUCGUUUAUUUGGCUCCUGCAUUGGUGAUCGUGAACUCUCGGGAAUUCAUGUGGUUUCAUAUUCCCUACUUGUGUAUAUGUAGCUUGUGGCGACAAGAUAUCUUGAGUUGACUGUGCUUGUACAAUGUAGUCUCAUAUUUAGUGGCUAAUUACAUUCCAUACCAAUUGUGCUGGAUUGAAUUUAUCACCUUAGUGAGGAUUUGGCAUUAUAUUAUUACAAAAAAAGUCUCACCACUUUGAUAA